rnacentral:rRNA from 1 species
GUGGGGAAUAUUGCGCAAUGGGCGAAAGCCUGACGCAGCGACGCCGCGUGAGGGAUGAAGGCCUUCGGGUUGUAAACCUCUGUCGGGAGGGACGAAAUCUUGACGGUACCUCCAAAGGAAGCACCGGCUAACUCUGUGCCAGCAGCCGCGGUAAUACAGAGGGUGCAAGCGUUGUCCGGAAUCACUGGGCGUAAAGGGCGCGUAGGCGGCCUGAUAAGUCGGGGGUGAAACGCUGCGGCUUAACCGCAGCACUGCCUUCGAGACUGUCAGGCUUGAGCACGGUAGAGGCUGGUGGAAUUCCCGGUGUAGCGGUGGAAUGCGUAGAGAUCGGGAAGAACAUCGGUGGCGAAGGCGGCCAGCUGGGCCGUUGCUGACGCUGAGGCGCGACAGCGUGGGGAGCAAACAGGAUUAGAUACCCCUGUAGUCC